UGCCCAUCCACUCAAUCCCCUCUCCCCUUUCUCCGACUCUCCGUCUCUUCCUCUCUCUCUCCCGUGCGACGGUGCACCGGCCGGGGUGGCCGUUCUCCGGCGCGGACCCUCCUCCCUCCCUUUUUUCCGACAUGCUGUCGCGCCAGGCGCCUCCUCCGAGGCGGCGUCGCACCGGACGCCCUCGGCGCGGCCGGGGCCCUGUUCUCCGACGAGGAUCCUCCUCCAUCCCUCUCUCCCCACGUGCUGGCGCAUAGGCAGCUCCUCCAAGGCGGCGGCGCACUGGACGCCCUCGGUGCGGCCGGGGCCCUGUCCUCGGCACGGCGACGCAACAACACGUCACGCCUGCCGUAGUCCAUAUAGCCGCACGUGGCAGCGCUGGCUGCGGGCGCCCUCCUCCUCGUCCUUUCCCCUCGUGCGCUGGGCACCGUCGAUGGCCGCCGGUGGCCACCGGCGUCGCUUGCCCCCAGUGCUGCCUCCUCCAUCUACUCCGUGUGUAUUCAUGUGCUGCAGGUGCUACAGGAAACCCUAGCAGUCUGGGCUAGGGGUCGCGGUGGUCUAGCUUCAACUCAAUCCCCGGCGGUGGUGCCCUUCUCUAGUGUGGACGCGCUCGCCGGCGGCAGCAGCGGUGGCUACCAGGUUGUUGCCCCUCUGUCGAUUGUGUGGGCGAUAAGGUAACCUCCCAUCUCUUCCCUCUCUCUCCGUCUUUUUUACUGGAUGUCUUGGUGGUAGGAGCCAAAAUUAUUGGUGCAGUUACCAAAUUUUGGUGAGAUUUUUUUCUAUAUUUUUGGUACAAUUGAUGCAAAUCUAUUUCUAGAUGCUCACCUCCCUUCAAUCAGUCACAAUGUUCCUCAAGUGCUGCAUUGGUGAAUACCCAGGCCUGUACAAACCAAUCAAAUUUAUUCAUGUAUGUUCCUCAAUAUUAGAUUUCCACAUUUCAGACUAAUGUUUUAAACAAGUUAAGAAAUUUUGGAUAGGUCAAAGCUUACUAUAGCAGAUGGAAUGGUUUUCUUCCUUUCAAAUUUGUGUCUGAAUGUUCUGUGUAGACAUGUAUAUUUUUUAUUAAAAUUUAUUCCAGUUUGAGAAGUGAGUGCUCUUUGUUCAUGUUCCAGAUAAGAACUAAUUUCUUUGAGCUAAUUCUACAAAAGGGUUUUAUUUUGCAAGGCAAGCAUGGUGCAGGCUUAGAUUUAGCUUCGUCUCAUAUUGAUUUCUUCUUUUCAAAAUUGUGCCUGAAUGUUCUCUGUACACAUGUAUGUUUUUUUUAUUUGUUCCCGUUUGAGAAGCGAGUGCUCUUUGUUCAUGUUCCAGAUAAGAACUAAUUUGUUUGAGCUAAUUCUAGAAAAUGGUUUUAUUUAAGGCAAUCAUGGUGCAGGCUCACAUUUGCUUUGUCCCAUAUUGGCAACCAUAGAUGUUAGACUUAAAUAUUUGCUAUGGCAAAACAUGUUUUAGAAUCAUUUUACCUAUUUAAUUUUAGCAUCUAUCUUUACUUUUGUGAGCGAAGUAAUUCACUAUUACUGGGAAAUGUUUGGUUGCUUCUUAUAUGUGCACUCUAUAUAUACUUAUAACAAGCCGAACAAAACUUUGCUUCUUGGAGGCCAUGGUUAGAGAGAGUUUGUUUACCUGUAGCACAUUAGCGGAGUGCCUAACAGUAUGAAGCAAUUUAUAAAUAUUAAAAAGUUUACAAGGAUUAGCUUCUGUAUAUGUAGGCAUUGCCUCACCUUAUGAUUACCAAUUAUCUAAUGGUGUGCCAGAUAAUUGAUAGCUUUAGUACAUCAGCUAAGAUGAAUCCUUUAUUAGAAUACAAUAUAAUCAGUAUAUAGUAAAUAUAUAUUUCUAUACGACCACCUGGUUUCCAUGGCUCCAUUUUUUAAUGAAUAAAUAGUAAAUACAUUUUUUAAGAUGUACGCUCUUUAUUACAUUAUGUCCCUUUUAGCUAGCUUGUUGGUCACAGGUAAUUUUCAAUGUUGAACCCCUUCUUGAUUUGUGCAAUAUAAGUAUUCCAUGAACUGGCAUGAUUUUGUACCAUCCACAACACCUGCUAUUUAUUUUUUAGACUAGCAGCUACAACCCUGUCAUUUAUUUGCUACUGAUAAAAAUGCAUAGUCAGAGUUUUUGAGUAGCUCACCUUAUUAUUACCAGUGAUUUGAUGGUGUGUUAGAGAUUUUAUACCUUUUCCAUGUCAUCUGAAAUGGAACUGUACUUUUUGUUUAGUGAAUUACCCUAACAAUGCCCGGAAUUUUUUUUGCUGGUCCAGAUCGGCGAUAGGUCAUCUUCGGCUUUUCUUAUUGGUCCACCUCUGCACAAGGCAUUUGCUUGGCUGUGGUUUUUUCAUGUCGUCUAAAAAACUAUGUCCAUAUGUCGCUCUCCUAUCGCCGCUCCACCCCUGUUGAACAUCUCUUUCCGAUGUUCUUAGCGUUUGGCAUUUGCCAUUUUCCCCUCUCUUCAGCCUGUGAUGAAAAUUUUAUAUCUAUUGCUCAAUGAUAUGAUCUGAUGUUCAGCCGCUUGUGAGGUACCUGGCAUGACUGUUGCUUAUAUCAUACGAUUUGUCAGCAUGCCUUGAAGCUCUAAGUAGAUGAACAAAUGAUGAUUGCUAUGCUUCUGAGGCCUCUAGAAAUCAUGUCUUUGUUUACAAAAACAUUCCUGCCUUCUUCAUUGCUGCAACAUACUUUUGCUGUAAUUGUUAAUUCACAAAGUCUUUUCCAAAAUCCUUGGUAGUGUCAUUAACUUUGCAAUACCAAUAUUACCUGUUCAUGAUCUAUCUCUGUAGAGUACCUCAUUUAUCGACUUUGUGGAAAUUAGUCCCAAUAUGGUUUUGAGGCUCCUGUUGUACUGGUAACUUUUUUAACAAAAAAAAGUUCACUAUACCGGUUUAAGGUUGUGUGAUGUCGCCUUUGAAAGAUUAUGGCUUACAUUUGUUACGUAAAUAAUAGUCCAUUGCCUACUUCAGUAGCACAAUAUCUUUUAUUAGUCCAAACUUCACCCAUGAAAGGGAAAAUUCAAGUGCAUUUAAAUCUUAAAUUAGAGCCUUUUUAGUAACCUAAUCUUGCUAAGUUCAAUAGUUAGCGUGCAGUGCUAGGCUGCCAGCUGUCGAAUUCUCACUGCUGCUCAUAUCUUCAUAAGGUGAGUACUCUCCUUUUUCUAUAUCACCAAAGUAUGUGUUGAUUUUUCAUCAUGUGCCCCAUUCCUGUUGAUUUUAGCACCUACUCUGUUUGUAUAAAUUCACAAUUCUGGAUGGAUCAUAUGGCGUUGCACCUUUGUCAGCACCCUGCUUGGAUAUCCUGCAUGGCAUCGCCCAGACCGGUCAUGCGUCAAUCCCUUUUCUUCUUCGUCCUUAGGGUUCUUUCCAAUCUUGUUAGUCCUAAUGAAAUUAGAUACUAUCUUAUUGUUCCUAAUAAAAUAAGAUACUCUCUUCGUUCUAAAUUAUUAGUUGUUUUGACUUUUUGGGUACAUCUAUUUUGCUAUGAGUCUAGAUAUAAUAUGUCCAGAUGCAUAGCAAAAUGGAUGAACCAAAAAAGUCAAAGCAACUUUGAAAUAGAGGAAAUACUUGCCUGCUUGACGGGGCUUCAAGGCUUGUCAAUUUACUUUUGAUUAUGAAUAUCGGCCUUCCACAGUUUGACAUGAGUUUGUUUCUUUUGUUGUGCUUUCGAUUUCCAGUCAUUGGUUAGCCUUGAAGAAAUAUGGACCGGUGUUAUUGUUGACUGCUUCUGAAUGGCUGCGCCGAAGAUUUCACAUCAUAGCUGCCUCUUCAACAAGGCAAUUAUCAAAUCUCACUGUCUUGACCAAUUCAUAGAAGCAGUUCAGGGAAUGUACGACAUGUACUUGACCAAAAGGAUGAGAGGGAUAUAAAAGUUGAAUUGUGUGUUAACCUUGAAUUAAACAGAUUAUUGACUUGAACUGUACAAGAUCUUUCAAGUCAUCAGCUCCACAUAUUUGCAAGAGUAGUUGUUGCUCUUCAAAAUGCGAAAAAUCCAUGUACAUAUGUAUUUAUCUAUCAUCCUCAGUUUUCAAUAUGGUUUCUAGGUAUGAAACCUGGUUAUUAUA